rnacentral:lncRNA from 1 species
AGACAAUCCAAUUAAAAACCAGGUCAAAAUAUUUGAAAAGACAUUUCUCCAAAUAUAUACACAUGGCCAAUAAGCAUAUUGAAAUGAUGUUCAGUAGCAAAACCACAGUGAGAUACCACUUCACAGCCACAAGCGUGGCUAUAAUUUUUAAGAUAAAGGAAAAUCACAAGUGUUGGUGAGGAAAUUGGAACCCUCAUACAUGGCUGAUGAGAAUGUACAAUGGCGCAGUCAUUUUAGAAAACAAUGUGGCAUUUAAAUAUAGGGUUACUAUAUGAUCUAGCAAUUCUACUCCUUGGUAUAUAGUCCUAGAAAUGAAAUCAUACAUCUACACAAAAAUCUGUACACAAAUGUUCAUAGCAACUUGUUAAUGGAAAAAGUAGAAACAACCCAAACGUCCAUCGACUGAAGGAUGAAUAAAUAAAAUUUGGUAUGUUUGUACAAUGGACUAUAUUUUAGCCAUAAAAAGAACGAGAUAUCCAUACAUGCUACUACAUGGAUGACCCUUGAAAACGUUAUGCUAAGUGAAAGAAGCCAGUCAUAAAAGACCAUAUAUGGUAUGACUUCAUUUAUACGAAAUAUCUAGAAUAGGCAGAUCAAUAGAGAGAAGGUAGAUGAGUGGUUGUUUUGGCUGGGAGUAGGGAGGAAUUGGGAGUGGGUGCUAAUGAGAACAAGUUUCUUUGAGGUUGUUAAAAAUGCUCUAAAGUUGAUUGUGGUGAUGGUUGUAUAAUUCUGUGAAUACACUAAAAGCCACUGAAUUAUAUAUUUGAAAUAGGUGGAUUGUAUGUGAAUCAAAUCUCAAUAAAGCUGUUAGAUAAAAAGUUAAAUGAUCUUCUAACUUAUCUCCUGAAAAAUGCACAUUGAGCCUCCGUCUGAUUUGUGUUGUGGCACCUAUGUGGAGCAGCUGGGCCACUUAGCAUGACUAAGCGUAGUAAUACCGGAGCUAGGCAGCUCAAGCCUCCUGUCUGUUUGAAAGACCAUCAGAAAACUCGAAGAGUGGGACAGGAUAAACUUUGUGAAGCAGGACCUGAGCUA